rnacentral:rRNA from 1 species
GAUGAACGCUGGCGGCGUGCUUAACACAUGCAAGUCGAACGGAAAGGCUCCUGCUUGCAGGGGUACUCGAGUGGCGAACGGGUGAGUAACACGUGGGUGAUCUGCCCUGCACUUCGGGAUAAGCCUGGGAAACUGGGUCUAAUACCGGAUAGGACCACAUUUUGGAUGGUGUGGUGGAAAGUUUUUCGGUGUGGGAUGAGCUCGCGGCCUAUCAGCUUGUUGGUGGGGUAAUGGCCUACCAAGGCGUCGACGGGUAGCCGGCCUGAGAGGGUGUACGGCCACAUUGGGACUGAGAUACGGCCCAGACUCCUACGGGAGGCGGCAGUGGGGAAUAUUGCACAAUGGGCGCAAGCCUGAUGCAGCGACGCCGCGUGGGGGAUGACGGCCUUCGGGUUGUAAACUCCUUUCGCUAGGGACGAAGCGUUUUUGUGACGGUACCUGGAGAAGAAGCACCGGCUAACUACGUG